ensembl:rRNA predicted gene, 25669
GUCUACAAUCCUACCUCCUUAAACACACCUGAUCUAGCUUGAUCUCUGAAGCUAGGCGGGGCCAGAUCUGGUUAAUGCUUGGAUGGGAAACAAAGGCUUAUUUUAAUAGACA